rnacentral:hammerhead_ribozyme from 1 species
AUCCAACUGAUGAAUCCUAAAUAGGAUGAAAUAUGCCUCCUGGAU